rnacentral:rRNA from 1 species
UGGGGAAUGAUUGCACAAUGGGCGCAAGCCUGAUGCAGCCAUGCCGCGUGUGUGAAGAAGGCCUUCGGGUUGUAAAGCACUUUCAGCGAGGAGGAAGGUGGUGAACUUAAUACGUUCAUCAAUUGACGUUACUCGCAGAAGAAGCACCGGCUAACUCCGUGCCAGCAGCCGCGGUAAUACGGAGGGUGCAAGCGUUAAUCGGAAUUACUGGGCGUAAAGCGCACGCAGGCGGUUUUGUUAAGUCAGAUGUGAAAUCCCCGGGCUCAACCUGGGAACUGCAUUUGAAACUGGCAAGCUAGAGUCUCGUAGAGGGGGCUAGAAUUCCAGGUGUAGCGGUGAAAUGCGUAGAGAUCUGGAGGAAUACCGGUGGCGAAGGCGGCCCCCUGGANGAAGACUGACGCUCAGGUGCGAAAGGCGUGGGGAGCAAACAGAUUAGNUACCCUGGUAGUCACGCUGUAAACGAUGUC